UACGAGUGCCUCAAGCGUUAUCCGGAAUCAUUGGGCGUAAAGGUUGUGUAGGUGGUUGUAUUAGUCUCUUGUUAAAUUCUUCGGCUUAACCGGGGGCAUGCAAGGGAAACGGUACAACUCGAGGAUGCGAGGGGUCUGCGGAACUCAUAGUGUAGCGGUGAAAUGCGUAGAUAUCUGGAGGAACACCGGUGGCGAAGGCGGCAUCCUGGACCGGUAUUGACGCUGAUGCGCGAAAGCCAGGGGAGCAAACGGG
rnacentral:rRNA from 1 species